rnacentral:rRNA from 1 species
UACGGAGGGAGCUAGCGUUGUUCGGAAUUACUGGGCGUAAAGCGCACGUAGGCGGCUUUGUAAGUUAGAGGUGAAAGCCCGGGGCUCAACUCCGGAACUGCCUUUAAAACUGCAUCGCUAGAAUUGUGGAGAGGUGAGUGGAAUUCCGAGUGUAGAGGUGAAAUUCGUAGAUAUUCGGAAGAACACCAGUGGCGAAGGCGACUCACUGGACACAUAUUGACGCUGAGGUGCGAAAGCGUGGGGAGCAAACAGG